rnacentral:rRNA from 1 species
GGUUCCCGGACAAACAUCUCAAUAAAAAUGUCUAACCAGGGACUUGAAGCGGCCCGAUAUUGAAAAACGAGCUCUGAGGCUAACUCGGGGAGGCUCUCUCUUGACAAAGGCCGCUUAGAAAGGCGCUAGCAAGGCGUGAGGAGGGGCCACGUAAGAAGUAGGGGUCCGUACGGUGUUCUGGGUGAACGUACUACCGGUACGUCAUCGGUACCAAAAGUUGAACUUAUAAAUUAUU